rnacentral:rRNA from 1 species
AUGCGUAUGUUGAGAUGGAUGUGUGGCCACACGAGGAAGGAUCGAGUCCGGAAUGAUGAUAUACGAGAUAGAGUUGGGGCAGCACCAAUUGAGGAGAAGCUUGUCCAACAUCGUUUGAGAUGGUUUGGGCAUAUUCAGCGCAGGCCUCCAGAAGCUCCAGUGCAUAGCGGACGGCUAAAGUGUGCGGAGAAUGUCAAGAGAGGGCGGGGUCGACCGAUUUUGACAUGGGAGGAGUCCGUUAAGAGAGACCUGAAGGAUUGGAGUAUCGACAAAGAGCUAGCUAUGGACAGGGGUGCGUGGAAGCUUGCUAUCCAUGUGCCAGAGCCAUGA